GUGACAGGGAGCCAGUAUUAGCUUCCUACCCAGGGGCAGAGAGGAGGUGAUCCCAUUGGUGUGUCAUCCUGAGAAGUCACAAGGUCACAAUAGCUCAACCACAAGGAAGGAAGAGAAGGGGCAGGUUUUCAAGGACAGGCCCAAGACCCAAGGGGGUGUCCAGUGAGAGGCGCCCUCAGCUGGGGAGAGACCAUCUCAUGCUUCCCUACUGAAUUCCGAAUGCAAGCACAUCUGGAUCCAGUUGUCACUGGCCUUUUCAGUUACGUGCCUUUUUCUUCUCGCUUAAGACAAGUUUGGUUGGAUUUCUGUUCCUUCCAGUUGUAAAUCCUCAUUAAUGAGGAACUGCAAGCUCCAUGGGGUCAGGAUCUCUGCACUCUUUGCCACCUUCUCCUCAGCACCCGUAAGAGUGCCUAGCAUCUAGCUAGCUCUCGGGAAAGCCUGUGGAAACCCUGGAUGGAUGAUACAAGUGGAGACAAUAGCAUCUCCUUUGUAAAUCUGCUCUUUUUAACAGAAAAGUGAUUCUUGGUAAACAUUAUUUUCUUUUCCAUUUUGUUGCCAUUAUCCUAUAAACUCUUUCUAAAUUAACUCCCUAAGAGGAACCCUAGUAACUCUUUAUGGCUUUAAUUCUUAGUGGGACUUUUUAUUAAGUUCCCUCUCAUGGAGAGGCAGAGUAGGUAACUGCCUGUUGCAUCCACUGUUAGGUUUUAAGUAAGAAAACCACUAGACGUUUGGCCACAAAGAGGUCACAGGUCAUCUGGUUUUACCUCCUACCUCCAGGCAGACAGAUUUAUAAACUGCAGGGUUGUCCCAAGAACACAGUGAUGCGACUGAGGAAAGGUGCCAAGAGGCACAGCUAGACGAUGUAAAGCUCCCUUUGUGACAAAGAUGGGAAAACUUCAGGAGAUUCUACACAAAGUGAGAUAGGGAGAUAAGUGCAGGUGCCCAGAGCACCCCACAAGGCUGCACAGCUGUGGGGGAAAUCAGUAAUGAGCAUCGACAGAGGCCCGGGUCUACUUGGACAGGAACCAUCUGAGACGAAGAGCUGUCAGUGCAGGACCAUAGCUUGUGCAAUUCUCCUGCUCAUCGAAUUCAGCAUUUAAUCAUGCUAAAAAUCUAGAUGAUUACUUCUUUGCCUCCUACACCUUUCUAUUUCUGGACUUGAGCCCAUGACUCCUAUUAAAUUUUCCAGGAAAAUGUUAAACAGCUGGUCAGCAUUCUUCCUUUAACCACCUUGGACGACAGCAAAUCACCUAUUUGCCAUCAUCUCCUGGGCAUUGGAAUUUAAAAAAUAAAAACACAGCUCUUAUCUCUUUCCCUCAUAGUAUCAUUUUCUGUCCCUUGAUUCACCCUCAUCGUUCAUUUCUGGACCCUCUCCAGCUUUUUCCCAUUCUGCCUAAAUGUUGGAGGCCAAAGCAUGACAUAAUGCUGAUGCAGACAUCUCUCUGAUGUGACUUGCAGCCUAAACAAUUUCCAGCAGCGUCUUUCCCAUUUCAUAUUUCAGUGGCUGCCACUCUUAAAAUUAAGGGAAUCGAGUGACCAACUGACACAUUCUUAGCAUGUGUCUGUUCCACGUGUGGCCCCUCACAGCCCAAGGGUUUCAAUGGGGAGCUUCCAGAAUUAAUUCAUUCUGUCCCUAAUCAUUAACAGAGUGUGAAAUUCAAUAUUUGAUCACUUGAAACUUCAACCUCCUUGAGGGCAGGGACCACAUAUUUCAAUGUUUUGUUCUGAGGCACUUACUGGGAAGCAAUCAGCUGGGUAUAGGAAUUGGAAAAGAAUUUUCCAUGGAAGGUGCUAUGGACUUUGUGAUCCCCUCCCCCCUCAGUUCUUAUGUUGAAGUCCUAAGCUUCAGUGUGACUAUAUUUAGAGACAGGACCUUUAAAGCAAGUAAGGCCAGGUGAGGGAGGAGACAACACAGUCACUCACUUGUUCUUUAGAGAGAGUGCAUAGGUCUCCAGGCCAGAGAGACAUGGGUUUGAAUCUUACCCACUAUGUUUACUACAAGAGUGAAGAUGAACCUAACCUACAAGAAUCUUGGUUUCUCAUCUAUUAAGGGAGGAUAAGAGCACCAUCACUUGGGGUUGGUGGGAUGAUUUAAUUUGUUGGCCUGACAAGUAAUAGGUACUCAGUAAAUGGCAGUCAUUGAAUUGUCAUUCAAUCAUUCAUUCAUUCCAUAGUAUUCCAGGCACCUCAAAUACAGUGGUAACCAAUUGACAGGAUAUUUUUUUCUUGGAGCUUACAAUCUAGUUCACUGGACAGACAGGAAGCUAUAAAUAAGAUCAUCUGGGGUAACAAGUGCUAUGAAGGAGCUUGACACUAUGAUGCCAGUAGAGAAAAGAGGAGCCUUCAUGAGAUGGCUGUAGCUCGGGAAAUGGAGGCAGAGAGCCACCUGGCACAGAUGAGCCUGCUGCAGACAGUGCUCCAUACAACUUGAGCUUUGUCCAACCCACACCACUUUAGACCAGUACUGCCACAAUAGCCAGCGCACAGAAGACCCUCCAGAAAUGCUCACCAAGUGGGAUAUGUGAUACUGCGGGGAUUUAAAUACACAGCUGCUGAGCCCAGGUAGGUCACAUCCAACACAAACCUUCUAGGGCCUCCUACCCGCACUGCCCACCUCACGCAAGAAGCCACCCACUCAGACAUGCUGGUGAACAGGAGAUUUCAGGACUGAAAGUGACCUCACUGUACCCAGUAAAGCCCUGCAGAGCCACCUAAUCUUUCUAUUUUGUCUGCAAAUGCUUUAAAGAAUCCUUCACCAGGGCCAUCUCACACUAACCUCAUGGAUCAAACAAGACCUAUGAAAUUUCAGCUUUUUACCCUGCUGUGUGGAGUCUUCUCACAAGACUGGAGUUCUAACCCUUCCGCUGUCCUGGCAAAACAGGUACCCAGGGUCAGUAGGUCCAAAUACACUCAAUGUCUGGAGGACUUCCGUUAAUUAUGUAUCUCUUAGAUUAAAAAUGCAAAUUCUCCUUGGCCGCCAUUUAGAUCGCCAUGUGAACAAGCUUAUCUCACAGAUUCCAACCCCAGACUGAGCUGGCCAAGUGGGAUGUUUGACAAUGGCUGGGCUCCCAGGAUCUGGAUUUCAUCUCCCCAUGCUGCCCAUGUCCAUGUCUGGUCAGCCUGCCCUGGCUUCCCCUUCAUGGAAAUGCAGAACCCCCACACAAAGACGGCUCCUUUAUUUCACAACAUGAAGGCAAAAAUGCUUAGGGAAGAUUUAGAACUGGCUAAAUUAGGAGCAUCUAAAACUUCCUGCCCACGAAUGUCCCCCAGCGUUUCAUCCACAGCUUUCUCAUUUAAUCGUGGAUGGGGGAAAUUUUAUUCAUCUUAAGCAAUCUCCUCACGGUCUUUGAUCUCCUGAGACUGGCAAACGGUCAUCAGUAAUGAUACCGGCCUUGGCAAUGAUGCUAUCCUCACUAACAGGCUACGUCUCAGCUGAGUAAUUGCCAGCUAAAGAGCACCUCGUCCUAAUUAACCUCUUCAGGGAAUGAAAAUAAAAGCACAAGAAUUUCAGAGUUCACAGGACCUGUGCUCAACCCCUUGUCAUCCAGAUAAGGAAAUUGUGUCUGAGGAUGAUUAGGGCCCAGAGUCCCACUGCCAAUUAGCAGAGUGCCAGGACUAGAAUCUGGAUCUCUAGGCUGACAACUAGAGCACUGGAUUACUCCACCAGCCAGUAAGAGUUGUCGAUAAUGCCUUAUCUCUUUAAACAUGUCCAGUGAUGAGGACUGGGUGAUCUAUGAAGUUACUGAAAUCAGUACAUUGUACUGACUUGAAGCUAAUAAAAUACUGAAUGUUAGCUAACUGGAAUUAGAAUGCUUUUAAACAAUGUUAGUCAAAGAUCUAUUAGUUGAGUAUGUAUUACGUGCUCUUUACCAUGCCCAGCAUUAGGGACCUAGAGAAGACAUAAUGGCUUAUUCCUUCUUUCAGUAACUAUCUACUGAGCACCUAUGUGCUACACAUGGGGAGGGCACAGGUUAAAAGCUUGCUUUUACAGGCAGAUGGCUUUGGUCUCUCACAGUGUGAUUUACUAACUAAAAUGAGAUACUGAUAAUAACCACACAGUUAUUAAGUAUAUUUAUUUGAGAAGAGCUUGGCCCAAUCUUUGGCCCAUUAGUAAGUGAUCAAUACAUCCUAGCUGGGCAGUGUAGGUGGCUCAGUGGUUUCAGCUUAGGGCAUGAUCCUGGAGACCCAGGAUCGAGUCCCGCAUCCGGCUCCCUGCAUGGAGCCUGCUUCUCC